UCCUCCAUAGCUCAUGCAGUGGUUAGAGCGUCCAACCGGCACCUGGAAGGUCAUGGGUUCGAUUCCAGUUGGGGAGCUCAGAA